AGGAGCGACCUCUGAACCUUCUGCCUUUGCUGUCCACCUGGAUGUUGCUCCCGAUCACAGCAAACGGUCAGACCUUGAGGAUCUGUUCCUGUCUCUUGAAGUCUUCGUCCUCAUCCGAGUCGCACUCUGGAAACUGGUAGAUGUUAAUCCCAAACCGCUUGAUCUCAUCCCUCAUCUGAAACAGAAGAAAACUAUCAUGGUGGAAGAGGAAUAAACAAUGAUCAGAGCAUCUCCGAAGCCUGGCGUGUCUAUGAUGGAGAGCCUC